rnacentral:lncRNA from 1 species
GGCAUCUCCAGCUGAGGCAAUGCUCUAGAGAUGGUCACAGGUAUAAGCUGUUAGCUAGAGCAAUUUCAGCAGCUGGGAGGUGAGCUUAUCUAUCCACAAAGGUUAUCUGAGAGGGGCAACAACUUCUACUGCUGUUAGUUUACCUUUGGGUAUAAACCUCAACUUUGAGGAAAGAGUUAAAUUCAAUGGAAAACAAAUUUGUUGAGUGCCUACUAUGUGCAAAACAGUAUGUUGGGGCAAAAGGGGAACACAAUGUGGAAGAUCUGUUGCCCUCAAGAAGAAAAAACUGUGCAUAUCAGCAAGGUAUCUCUUCCUGAGGCCGGUCUUCGUUAGCGAGCUUGGUUGCAUGACCUUGGGGAUGUCACUUAAACAUUCAGUCUCAGA